GGGCAGAUAGCUCAGUGGUAGAGCAGCCCACAAGCCGGGGGCAGCCCUGGGUUCUAUUCCUAGCCUAUCCA
rnacentral:tRNA from 1 species